rnacentral:rRNA from 1 species
AUUGAACGCUGGCGGCAUGCCUUACACAUGCAAGUCGAACGGCAGCACGGGUGCUUGCACCUGGUGGCGAGUGGCGAACGGGUGAGUAAUACAUCGGAACGUACCUUAUCGUGGGGGAUAACGCAGCGAAAGCUGUGCUAAUACCGCAUACGCCCUGAGGGGGAAAGCGGGGGAUCGCAAGACCUCGCGCGAUUAGAGCGGCCGAUGCCUGAUUAGCUUGUUGGUGGGGUAAAAGCCCACCAAGGCGGCGAUCAGUAGCUGGUCUGAGAGGACGAUCAGCCACACUGGGACUGAGACACGGCCCAGGCUCCUACGGGAGGCAGCAGUGGGGAAUUUUGGACAAUGGGGGCAACCCUGAUCCAGCAAUGCCGCGUGAGUGAAGAAGGCCUUCGGGUUGUAAAGCUCUUUUGUCAGGGAAGAAACACCGGCUCUAACACAGUCUGGGAAUGACGGUACCUGAAGAAUAAGCACCGGCUAACUACGUGCCAGCCGCCGCCGUAA